AUACGGAGGGUGCAAGCGUUAUUGGGAAUCACUGGGCGUAAAGGACGCGUAGGCGGGUUGGCAAGUCAGAUGUGAAAUCCUACAGCUUAACUGUAGAACUGCAUUUGAAACUGCUAACCUAGAGUAUGGGAGGGGGAGAUGGAAUUAGUGGUGUAGGGGUAAAAUCCGUAGAUAUCACUAGGAAUACCGAAAGCGAAGGCGAUCUCCUGGAACAUAACUGACGCUAAGGCGUGAAAGCGUGGGGAGCAAACAGGAUUAGAAACCCUAGUAGUCC
rnacentral:rRNA from 1 species